rnacentral:rRNA from 1 species
GACGAACGCUGGCGGCGUGCCUAAUACAUGCAAGUCGAACGCUUCUUCCCUCCCGAGUGCUUGCACUCAAUUGGAAAGAGGAGUGGCGGACGGGUGAGUAACACGUGGGUAACCUACCCAUCAGAGGGGGAUAACACUUGGAAACAGGUGCUAAUACCGCAUAACAGUUUAUGCCGCAUGGCAUAAGAGUGAAAGGCGCUUUCGGGUGUCGCUGAUGGAUGGACCCGCGGUGCAUUAGCUAGUUGGUGAGGUAACGGCUCACCAAGGCAACGAUGCAUAGCCGACCUGAGAGGGUGAUCGGCCACACUGGGACUGAGACACGGCCCAGACUCCUACGGGAGGCAGCAGUAGGGAAUCUUCGGCAAUGGACGAAAGUCUGACCGAGCAACGCCGCGUGAGUGAAGAAGGUUUUCGGAUCGUAAAACUCUGUUGUUAGAGAAGAACAAGGACGUUAGUAACUGAACGUCCCCUGACGGUAUCUAACCAGAAAGCCACGGCUAACUACGUG